UGUAUACUUAAUAGUAAAGGCAACAACUACAGGCCUUCCUUCAUGCAAUAGCUGCACAAACUGACGCUCAGAUGUAAAUGGUAUAAUUCUUGAUGGCCCUAGGUCCUUGGGAUAUCCAGUGUAGUACCUGUAAUUAUAAGUUUAGUAUACGCUUACACCUUACACAUGUAUUACACCUUACAUUCUCUUUUCCCUUUUCCCUUCCAUUCUCUGCAUGUACACUUAUGCUCUCUCUUUUUAUUAUUUUGUUUCUCAACAGGUACUGAAAAUUCUCGUAUUUGGUUGAGAUCUAAACUAGGCAUAAGGCAUAAGGCAUUUUGAAGUCUUUUACCAGAAUCCGCUCGACCGCAUCAUCAAUCCGAGACAUAGGUACCUCCCCUGUCUCCACCAAGAACACUAGAUCCUCAAGAAACUCCUCAAAUCUGUAAGGUAGUGGAAAUGGAUCCUACGGACAACCAAGACGAGUUAAUGC